rnacentral:lncRNA from 1 species
CAUAGCCACCUCCCGGGACCCUGAACUCCACAGUGGCAGCUGCCCCCUCUAUGCGCAGCUGCCCCCUCCAGGACGCACCCCCCUCUCCACUCUGGCCCCUGCCCCUUCUGUCUGGUUUCAGCCUGGCAGCCUCAUCCUUUGGCAACGUCUCCAAAACUCUCAGUCAAAUGGGAACAGCAAGGCCUGCCCAUCAACUGCUACAAACACAGGAACAAGCAAAACCCCUGGGGCAGAAGGCACCGAUCAGCCUUCCCCUCUCCUCACUCUCGGCCACCUCCUCCAGACCCCAACGCAGAGGGCUUCUCUCUGCCAGUUAAACCCGGAGCCAAGCAACAGGAGCUCCUCGGAUCACCUUCUUUCCAGCCUCGUCCUGGCUGCCAGGAGGCUCCGUUUCUCCUUCCUCCCGGGUUGCAGGCACCUCCUCCCGCCAGUGACUUCCACCAUGAUUGCUCUUCCCAUUCACGUCCCACGCGAUUACCUCACUCACUGAUCCUUCUUCAAUUUCCCCUCAGAUGCUCAAGUUCACACCCCACCAAAAUUCCCCCAAAUGCAUGUGUUCUGGGAUGUGAAGGGGACGUGUCCAACGUCCAGGUCCUUCGUCACAGCCAUAAAGGAGGCCAUGCGUGGGACACGCCCUCAUUCCAGGCAAUGUGAGAGACGCCUUCACCUUGACCGUGUUGCUGCCUCUCGUUCCAACCGUGCUCAGAACCAGGAGCCGGCGGGGACGGAGCCACAGAGCAGCCGCUUCCCCGUGUCCGCGCCCCUGUACUGUCUUCACACUCGCCAUCACCUUGCACACCCUGCGGCACCACACGACCGCCACGGAGCCUGUGGGGCCCUCCUGUGUCUCAAACCCGAGCCCUUCCCCGGCGCCCACAUCCAGGUUGCCAACUAGGAGGAGGCAGGCCUGGGGCACUGGCAGGAGGACGGGUGGGCACAGGAAAACCUGCCUGAAGAUGAGGUCAUGAGGAAGGCAGCACAGAAGGAUGGGAGAAGAGGCCUUAAGACACAUAAUACCAUGACCUUUCACGCUAUGAGCAGCUGACAUCGGUGUGUCCCUGCUGCGAGCCCACGCCUGACUCCACCAUGCUGUGGCCACAUGCUACUCUGACCCACAGCUCCUCCCUGGGCAGACAAGCCACGCGGCUGUGACACAAGCUGCCACGGAUCAAAAAGGAAAAAACAAGUCCUCGAUGUGCGGAGCUAUUUAGUGAGCACAGGGCACUCUACCAAGAAGGAUAAGAUGUCUGUUUAAAAACCAAAAAGCAAAAAAGAAGAAAACCUGGCCAUGCAUGGCGGCUCACGCAUCAGCACUUCGGGAG